ensembl:lncRNA
GGAUAACAUUCCUAGCCCUAAGUCUGUCACCUAGUCCUUUCACGAGCUGAUCCCUCAGGCCUCCUUGCCAGAAGCUUCCACAGAACACCAUUCUCCCCCCGGAAGGUCUCCUCCUGGCAUCAAAGCGUUUCUCUUCUUGCCCUUUCCUUGUAGGUUUCCUUUUCCAUCUGCCAGGAGGAAAGGUGGUCCUUUAAGGGCAGAGACCUAGCUCACUUAUCUUUUUUUUUCCUCACCCCCCAGUGCUUAGCAUAUACCCGGAGCCAAGUCAGUGCUUUUGUAAGAAUGGAGUCACCAUGGAAUUGCGAAACAGCAAGAGCUGGUUCAGGCAGGCAAGCAGCUGGAACCAGGAAACGGUUAAAGGCAGGAGGGAUCCACUUCACUCUGGGCUGGUGGCCAUCUGCUUCCGGCCUUCCUGUCCCUCCCACGGUGGACGGUGGACGCAGGCUUCCUGCAGUCUGGGAGGGGGUCUGAGUGGGAGAGUCAGAAACCCAGGGGUGAAGGGGCUCCCCGAGCCCCGAAUGAGGGCGUUCAGAAAAGUGGCUCAGCAUCGAGGGACUUCUGACUCUCUUUGUGAGAAAGACCAGGUCGCCCAGCCCGAGAGGCUUGAGAGGAAGGCAAAGAUUCAUGGUGGGCACUAGACACAGGACUCAAUUCCUGGACUAUGUGCUUUCCAGCUAGCUCCACGGACUACAUCAAGGCAUCAUGCCGGGCUUCCCUGUCCUUCACCAUCUCCCAGAGAUUGCUCAAACUCAUGUCCAUUGAGUCAGUGAUGCCAUCCAACCAUCUCAUCCUCUGUCGUCCCCUUCUCCUCCUGCCUUCAACUUCCCUGAACUGUACACACCAUGAAUUGAUUGCCCCACACUUUCCACCCACUCUUUCUAAAUUGUACCUUUCGGGACUACACAGACCAAGUUUCCUCAAAAUACCAACCUUCAAAUAGUGGGGGAAAGCUAUGAUUUUCCCACCGGAAUCUAGUCUUUCUCAGGCUAAAUGUCUCCUUCUCUUUCAACGCUUGCCCCGGUCAACCCGCCACCCUUUGAGUGACUCCCCUCAAGGUCAUCCGUAAGUUGAAAUGUUGGAAACACCUAACUAUCCAGCAGUGGAGGCUCAACUAAACCACGCAACGAAUCACGUCAAGAUAGGAUACCAGAUAAAAGAAGAGAUAAAGCAGUAGAUUUAGUAUGAUUUAAGUCUUGUAAUUAAAACUUUAUAUGUUAAAAUAAAUUUUUGUAAUAUUUGUCACAGGGUGGAACAAUGGUAUGUGAUAUUCCUCUUGUUUGUACCUUUUUUUCAAAUUUUCUAGAAUGAAUUACUGGUAAGUAGGAGGGGAAAAAAACAGACCCUACAUCCCUAUAGUUUUUAACCUAAUGGCCCAGGUUCUAAAUCUUGGGAAUAUCAUAAAGUAGGCUUCUUACCACACAUCAUUUCAGAGAUAAGUAUGUAGCAGGAAGACCAGAAUACCAGGAGCCUGGCAGACCUCCAACAAGUGUUUGUUUCCUUCUUUACAUCCCUGAGUUCUUGAGGACUAUUCUCAUAUACUCCUUUCUCAUUAAAAUUUCCUUCACCUGUGUCCUACGGCUGGAUUUCUAAUCCAUAUUCCAACAGAUACUCACUGUACUUCCAGUUCUGUCCAAGCUGUUGACUGAGCUGGGAGGGGGGCGGCAGGUCUCUGAUAGACACCAGCUCCAAGAACAAGAAAGAAUAAAGUGGACAUUUCCUUAAUUCCCAUUUCAGAGCGGAAAUGCAGUUAGAGUAGAUCAUGUAAGUGAAGGAAGCGGGGGAAACACCAUCAAGUCAGCGCUCACCCAGUUGUUAUUCAACAGGACAGUGGCAAAAUCAUCAGGCGACAAAUGCUGUCUCUUGCUCACUCCAAAGUUUCAGGAACUGGCUCAUGAGGUUUUCAGCAGUAAAGAAAUGGAGGGGUGAGUGAAUCUGUGCUCCCACCUCCAUCCUUCUCCCAGACGAGAAAAAGGCAGCCUAGAGGGGCUAUGAGAUUUGCCCCAAGUUGACCCACUUAACUGCAGAGUUGGGAGACAGACAGGCCCCCUGAUACCUAGUCCAGGGCUUUCCAUCUCUCCUGCCUUCCUUCUGUCAGAUUCUGAGAGAGAACAAAGUGUCUGCAGCAACUUGGAAUUAACACCAUUGGCCUGAAAGGUGGUCUCCGAUUACCCAUCGUCUUGAACCUGGAGGCUUCCCUGGAGGGGAGGAGGGACUUUCCCUCCACCUUCCUAGGUUCAAUAGCUGAGUCUGUGACUUAAACAGACAGCAGGCAGGUUGAGAGCAAAAAAGGUGCACACACGUAUUCAUUUUACUAUUAUGUGUGGUGGGCAUCACACAAAAAAAGUGAAUACUCAGUAAACUGGUCCACCGAUCUUAGACUGUAAGGAUUGGAACUCAAUCUGAAUUCAUCUUUGUAUCCCCGGCCCUGAUCAGGGCAGCUGACACAGAACAGACACUCAAAUGCAUGCAGAGUCAGUCACUGGUAAUGCCCUUUACUGUGGGUAACUUAUAAUUCAACUUGUGGAAAAUGGUGGCUGCUUCCAUAAAAGGUAAGAGAGCCUGUUAAGGAAGAAGGUGAGUCCUGGUUUGACAAGUUGAGACCUCUGGGUUUUGUUCCAUUGAGUCAUGUUUGACCACUCACUGUCUAGACCUGUUUGAGAAACAAACAAACAAAAAACCCUUUAAUAGUUGUGAAUAAGUAUAUCACACUUGCUUUUCUCUCUCCAGGGCAAAUAAUUCCAGUCCCUUUGGAGAUCCAGUGAUCAGAAAACAUACUCUAAUAAGAUGUUAUGAUAUCUUGGAUACGAUGGAAGUUCGCGAAGAGUCAGACACAGCAGCAUCCUACUUAAAUAUAUCCUGGCAUUUCAUGAACUUAAUACAACAUGGUGGAGCUGGCAUUUCUCUAAUGCUUUUUUUUUCUUUGUCCAAUCUGCCUGCUGUCAAUUUGUUUCACAGACCCAGCUAUCGAACCUAAGAAGGUAGAAGAAAAGUCCUUCCUCACCUACACGGGAGCCUCCAGGUUCAAGACUGGUGGUGAUCUGAGGACACUUUUAGCGCUGCUGUUAAUUCCUUCAAGUUGCUGCAAAUACUUGUAAGUUUUCUCUCAGAACCUGAUAGAAGGAAGGCAGGAGAGAUGGACAGAGCCCUGGACUAGGUAUCAAGUGGUCUGCCUUUCUCCUGAUUCUGCAGCUAAGUGGGUCAACUUGGGGCAAAUCUCACAACUCCUCUAGGAUGCCAUUUUCUCAUCUGUAAGAAGGGCAAGGAGAUCCAACCAGUCCAUGCUAAAGGAAAUCAGUCCUGAAUAGUCAUUGGAAGGACUGAUGUUGAAGUUGAAACUCUAAUACUUUGGCCACCUAAUGCGAAGAGCUGACUCAUUUGAAAAGAUCCUGAUGCUGGAAAAGGUUGAAGGCAGGAGGAGAAGGGACAAUAGAGGAUAAGGUGAUUGGAUGGCAUCACUGACUCAGUGGGCAUGAGUUUGAGUAAACUCUGGGACUUGGUGAUGGACAGGGAGGCCUGGCAUGCUGCAGUCCAUGGGGUCGCAAAGAGUCAGACACGACUGAGUGACUGAACUGAACUGAAGAAGGGCAGAGGUGGGAAGCCUAGAUUGAGUCACUGCUCUAAUCGUUUACUGCUGAAAAUGCAGUGAGCCGAUUGCUGAGACUUUGGGGUGAGCAAGAGACAGGAUUUGUUGCGUGAUGGUUUGGUACUCUCAUCCUGUUGAAUAACUGGCUGGAUACCUACUUGAUGGUGUUUCCCUCUAUUUCUUUACUUAAAUGAUCUGCUCUCUAAUUGCUUUUCUUCUCUUAAGUGGGUAUUAAGGAGAUAUCCAAUUUUUUCUUUCUUGGCUUGUAGCCAUGGCUUCUUGUCCCAGAGGCUUCUGAGCCUGUGAAUAAUUAUCUGGUUUAAGUAAAGGAUGCCCUGAAGGUAAUAACAUACAUUGC